UACGUAGGGGGCAAGCGUUGUCCGGAAUUAUUGGGCGUAAAGCGCGCGCAGGCGGUCAUUUAAGUCUGGUGUUUAAGCCCGGGGCUCAACCCCGGUUCGCAUCGGAAACUGGAUGACUUGAGUGUAGGAGAGGAAAGUGGAAUUCCGACGUGUAGCGGUGAAAUGCGUAGAGAUGUGGAGGAACACCAGUGGCGAAGGCGGGAUCUCUGGGCCUGUCCUGACGCUGAGACGCGAAAGCGUGGGGAGCAAACAGGAUUGAGAUA
rnacentral:rRNA from 1 species